rnacentral:rRNA from 1 species
UACGGGGGAGCAAGCGUUGUUCGGAUUACUGGGCGUAAAGGGCGCGUAGGCGGUCAGCACAAGUCAGUUGUGAAUCUCCGAGCUUAACUCGGAAAGGUCAACUGAUACUGUGCGACUAGAGUGCGGAAGGGGCAACUGGAAUUCUUGGUGUAGCGGUGAAAUGCGUAGAUAUCAAGAGGAACACCUGCGGCGAAGGCGGGUUGCUGGGCCGACACUGACGCUGAGGCGCGAAAGCUAGGGGAGCGAACGGG